AGGAGAAGUCGUAACAAGGUUUCCGUAGGUGAACCUGCGGAAGGAUCAUUGUCGAAACCUGCCCAGCAGAACGACCCGUGAACCUGUUGAAACAACUGGGGGUGUGGGGCGAUCUCGCCCCUUGCCCCCGAACGGUAGGGAGACACUUGUGCAUCCCUGCCGAACAACGAACCCCGGCGCGGUCCGCGCCAAGGAACUUUAACGAAAGAGUGCCUCCGGCCGCCUCGGAAACGGUGUGCGUGCGGGAGGUGAAUCUUGUCUAGAACCAUAACGACUCUCGGCAACGGAUAUCUCGGCUCUCGCAUCGAUGAAGAACGUAGCGAAAUGCGAUACUUGGUGUGAAUUGCAGAAUCCCGCGAAUCAUCGAGUCUUUGAACGCAAGUUGCGCCCGAAGCCACCUGGCCGAGGGCACGUCUGCCUGGGUGUCACGCAUCGUUGCCCCCAACCCCAUCUCCUUGCAAAGGGACGAGGGGGCUUGUGGGGCAGAAAUUGGCCUCCCGUGAGCUCAUGCAUGCGGUUGGCCUAAAAGCGAGUCCUCGGCGACGCGCGCCACGACAAUCGGUGGUUGUCAAACCCUCGUGUCCCGUCGUGCGUGCCGCGUCGCUCAUCGUGUGCUCCUUGACCCUGUUGUGUCGCGCUAGCGACGCUUCCAACGCGACCCCAGGUCAGGCGGGACUACCCGCUGAAUU
rnacentral:rRNA from 1 species